GAUGAACGCUGGCGGCGUGCCUAAUACAUGCAAGUCGAGCGAACAGACGAGGAGCUUGCUCCUCUGACGUUAGCGGCGGACGGGUGAGUAACACGUGGAUAACCUACCUAUAAGACUGGGAUAACUUCGGGAAACCGGAGCUAAUACCGGAUAAUAUAUUGAACCGCAUGGUUCAAUAGUGAAAGACGGUUUUGCUGUCACUUAUAGAUGGAUCCGCGCUGCAUUAGCUAGUUGGUAAGGUAACGGCUUACCAAGGCAACGAUGCAUAGCCGACCUGAGAGGGUGAUCGGCCACACUGGAACUGAGACACGGUCCAGACUCCUACGGGAGGCAGCAGCAGGGAAUCUUCCGCAAUGGGCGAAAGCUUGACGGAGCAACGCCGCGUGAGUGAUGAAGGUCUUCGGAUCGUAAAACUCUGUUAUUAGGGAAGAACAAAUGUGUAAGUAACUAUGCACGUCUUGACGGUACCUAAUCAGAAAGCCACGGCUAACUACGUG
rnacentral:rRNA from 1 species